UGGAAUAGUUUCUUUUUUUUUUUUUCAAGUAAUUGGGGAGAAUACUCUGUUUGUGAUUUGUUGUUGGGAGGACCAACCUGGAAUGUGAAACUUGGAAGAAGAGAUGCUCGAACAGCUAGCCAGUCCGCGGCUAAUAACGGCAUUCCUCCGCCGACGUCGAACUUGAACCAGCUCAUUUCAAGGUUCAAUGCUCUCGGACUUUCAACAGG